GUUGUAGCUCAGUGGCAGAGUGCUUGCCUAGCAUGUGUGAGGCACUGGGUUUGAUCCUCAGCACCACA
rnacentral:tRNA from 1 species